GUGCUUGCUUUGGCAGCACGUAUACUAAAGUUGGAAUGAUACGGAGAUUAGCAUGGUCCCUAUGCAACGGUGACAUGCAAAUUCAUGAAGCGCUCCGUAUUUUU